rnacentral:misc_RNA from 1 species
AACUGAUACUACCUGCGGGAACCUGCGGAAGGAUCAUUACCGAGUUCUCGCCCCUCGCGGGGUAGACCUCCCACCCACUGUGAUCACUACCGUCGUUGCUUUGGCGGGCCGCUGGGCCCAGCCCACCGCCGGCCCCGGCUGGCGCGUGCCCGCCAGAGGCCCUACAAACGCUGGAUAUCAGUGCCGUCUGAGUACACAUGUUAAUCGUUAAAACUUUCAGCAACGGAUCUCUAGAUCGGA